rnacentral:misc_RNA from 1 species
AAGUCGUAACAAGGUUUCCGUAGGUGAACCUGCGGAAGGAUCAUUACCAGAAAGUACCUCGGGCGAGAGCCCGCAAGUACCUCAACCCUUUCCGCGUACCAUUACCAUGUUGCCUUCCGCGUGGUCAACGGGGCGAGCGUUGGCUAUCAUUGCCCGCCUGCUCCUUUGCGGUGAGGUCGCACCAGUUUGCGGCCAAACCUCAAGCCCGCGGAGGGGCUUCAACCCAAACCCUUUGCUUCGAAAACGCUGUAGCCUGUCUGAGCUUGCAAAAUGGAAAGAAUAAAGUCAAAACUUUCAACAACGGAUCUCUUGGUUCCC